GACUGUCAAGUGUUUUGUUAAAGAAAAUUAUAGAUUACAUUUGGCUUAAUUGACUGUUGCCCAAUUUUGUUCAAACCUUCUCCUCUCUUCUCUCAGUCGCCGAGGACUUGUCUCUGGGUUUGCAGAAAUGUUGAGAAGAUUGCUGGUGCAAGUUUCCACUCAACAUCGUCGAUGUCUCUUCACGCCUCACUCUUCUUUCGCUUUUCGACAAUGCUCCUCUUCUUCGUCUUCUUCACCGUCCCAAAUCGGAAACAGUACUUUCGUCGAACACUUGAAGGGCUCAAACCAAUCCACCGAAGCCACUUCUCAACCCUCUUCCACUCUAUCCGUCGAUCGCUCCGGCUUGUACAAUCCUCCCGAGCAUUCUCACGAGCCUUCUUCGGAUUCUGAGCUUGUUAAGCACCUCAAAGGCGUCAUCAAGUUCCGUGGUGGGCCAAUCUCGGUUGCUGAGUACAUGGAGGAAGUUCUGACAAAUCCUAAAGCCGGGUUCUACAUUAAUCGGGAUGUGUUUGGAGCAGAAGGCGAUUUUAUAACCUCUCCGGAAGUAAGCCAGAUGUUUGGGGAGAUGGUUGGCGUUUGGGCAAUGUGUUUGUGGGAGCAAAUGGGACAGCCAAACAGAGUGAACCUAAUUGAGCUGGGUCCAGGAAGGGGAACUCUCAUGGCCGAUCUUCUACGAGGUUCAUCAAAGUGUAAGAACUUCAUAGAAUCAUUGCAUAUCCACAUGGUUGAAUGUAGUCCAACAUUACAGAAGCUUCAGUAUGAAAACCUGAAGUGUGUGGAUGAGGAUCAUCCUGAGAAAAGAAGCAUAAGCACAUUGGCUAGAACCCCUGUAUCAUGGCAUGCUACACUGGAGCAGGUUCCAACAGGAUUGCCAACAAUCAUCAUUGCCCAUGAAUUCUUUGAUGCUCUACCAGUUCAUCAAUUUCAGAGAGCUUCUCGUGGCUGGUGUGAGAAAAUGAUCGAUGUUGCAGAAGACUCAUCGUUUCGUUUUGUUCUAUCUCCACAACCUACGCCUGCAACUCUGUUUCUCAUGAAGCGCUGUAAGUGGGCUGGAGCUGAAGAAAUUGCUAAGCUUGAUCGAAUUGAGGUUUCUCCCAAAUCAAUGGAAUUGACUCAAACAAUUGCAAAGAGAAUAAGUUCUGAUGGAGGUGGAGCUCUCAUAAUUGAUUAUGGCCUGAAUGGAGUAGUCUCAGAUAGUCUUCAGGCAAUUCAAAAACACAAGUUUGUUGACAUAUUGGAUAAUCCUGGGACUGCUGAUCUCAGUGCAUAUGUUGAUUUUGCUUCUGUAAUGCAUUCUGCUGAGGAAGUUUCAGAAGAUGUGUCGGUCCAUGGGCCAAUUACUCAGUCUCAAUUUCUUGGCUCCCUGGGGAUAAAUUUCAGAGUUGAAGCACUGCUAGAAAACUGCACGGAUGAACAAGCAGAGUCGCUGAGGACAGGAUAUUGGCGUUUGGUGGGUGACGGUGAAGCCCCGUUCUGGGAGGGUCCUGAUGAACAAGUACCCAUUGGGAUGGGUACUAGGUAUUUGGCUAUGGCUAUUGUGAACAAGAAGCAAGGCAUUCCAGUUCCAUUUCAAUGAAGUUUUGAGGUAGAAGUGGCAUCUGUUGCGACCUGAUGUUAUAAGAACAACAAUGGGAGCAACUGUGUCUAGUUUGCUUGGAGGAGGAGGAGACUCUGCAAACGCCGACAACUCUUCCGCAACGUCCUCGGAGCCAUCUCGCGUCAUCCCAUUUCACUCAUCCAACAGUUGGCAGCUCCACUUUAAUGCCUCUAAACAAACCUCAAAGCUCGAUGUGGCGGAGGAGUUUGGGGUGGAGGCGAUGCCGACGUUCGUGUUGGUGAAGCAAGGGAAGGAGGUCGACAGAGUCAUCGGGGCCAAGAAGGAUGAGCUGGAGAAGAAGGUUGAGAUGCACACUGAA